AGAGGCAUAUUGUAUGUGAUGGACUGCAACCACUGCUGGUAAAUGCUGUAUCACAUCGGUCAUGCAGAAUAGGCAGACCACGGAGUCACUCAACACGCCCACAGUUUUACCAUGCAGGUUAGAUCAGUUAUUUACAAUAAGUGGGGCUGUACCCAAUGUUGAUUCAUACACUUUUGGCUUCCAGGCUGCAUAGAACCCAAAUACGUGACUUUAACUUUACAUAAUGUCUAAACAGCCUCGUUUCCCUCAUUUCUCUCUUUCUGUCCAUGUACAGUCAUAAACAAAAGUUUACAUAUUUGUGAAGAACAUGUAUGUCAUGGUAAUCUUGAGUUUCCUCCUAUAACUCGGAAUUUUCUGUGAUGGAAUCAUUGAAACCCAUAUGUCUGUGUCACAAAAAAUAAGUGAAAAAUGAAGGGAAUAAAGCACGUUUGUUCUUAAAAAAAAUUUAUUCUACAUCUUCUGGAACACAAAGGGAGAAAGUCAAACAACUACAGACACUUGAGGAAAAUCUUUAUAGUCCCGGUACGGAAAACUAUUCAGAAUGAGCAACUGCUCCACAGUCCACCAGGUUUAUUUACUUUCUAGAGCUGCUUCUGGUAACUCUAAAAUGUCUCAGGGACAAGCACAGCACAUCAAGUGCCCUGCUGUUGACUGCAAGAGUUAACACAAAGAGUCUUAAUGCAGUCCCAACAUCGGGGGAAUUCAACACCAAGUGGAUUAAAUUCAUUGAUGAUGGCAAUGUGUCCACAACAACAGGAAAAUCCAUAGUUUUAGCACAGAUGCAGCGAGUCUCCAGCAGUUCAGCUGCAUUUAAAGCUACAGACACUGACACAGUCUAUUUAGAACAAGUUUAAAACAGGGGUUUUACAGACAUGGUAAAAUUAACCAUCUUUGCAUGUUCUGCCCUGAGUGUUUAACUGUUAAAAAAUGUUUAUAUUGUUAUUCUAAAGUUUGGGAUUGCUGAGCUUUUAUUGUGAAGGCUGCAGUACACAGGAAGUAGGAAGUACGGAGCUGACUGAGAAAGCAUGUCCCAGGGAAAGCAUGUCAGCAGCUAGAUGAUGUUUUGUGUUAGACUCAGCAUUCUUCCAGUGUACGGAUCUCUCAGAAAGCAAUGGCUGAGGCUUCAGGGCAUGUAGAGGUUGACCCAUAAGGCAGAGGUUCUGCCUCAGACUGAGGUUGUAUUCGGUACCUGCAGCAUGUGUUUACCGGGAGGAGUACACAGAACCGACUAGAGCAGUGUGAGAAGAAGAACGUAAACAAGAAUGGAUAUACGAAAUGUUUUCAGGAGAGUAAGUAUUCAUCACUACUGAUAGUAACAUUAAGUUAGCUCUAGCCCCCCAACUAACAGCAGAAAGUCCUAUGUAAUUAAUGAACCAAAUGUUUCUUGUUUGGCAAAUAAAAAUCUGGCUUGUACAGUCUGUAGGAGAGAGUCCUUGUACAGGAGGCAGCGUGAGAUGCUGCUGUAUCUCUGUGCAUGUCUUACCUUUGUUGUUUUGUGGUCAAAAGUUACAUUUCAGCUCUAAAA